rnacentral:rRNA from 1 species
AGUGAACGCUGGCGGCGUGCCUAAUACAUGCAAGUCGAACGGAGAUUAAAUAGCUUGCUAUUUAAUCUUAGUGGCGCACGGGUGAGUAAUAUAUAGUUAAUCUGCCCCAUAGUGGAGGACAACAGUUAGAAAUGACUGCUAAUACUCCAUACUCCUUCUUAUCAUAAGUUAAGUCGGGAAAGUUUUUCGCUAUGGGAUGAGACUAUAUCGUAUCAGCUAGUUGGUGAGGUAAUGGCUCACCAAGGCUAUGACGCGUAACUGGUCUGAGAGGAUGAUCAGUCACAUUGGAACUGAGACACGGUCCAAACUCCUACGGGAGGCAGCAGUAGGGAAUAUUGCGCAAUGGGGGAAACCCUGACGCAGCAACGCCGCGUGGAGGAUGACACUUUUCGGAGCGUAAACUCCUUUUGUUAGGGAAGAAUAAUGACGGUACCUAACGAAUAAGCACCGGCUAACUCCGUGCCAGCAGCCGCGGUAAUACGGAGGGUGCAAGCGUUACUCGGAAUCACUGGGCGUAAAGGACGCGUAGGCGGAUUAUCAAGUCUCUUGUGAAAUCUAGUGGCUUAACCACUAAACUGCUUGGGAAACUGAUAAUCUAGAGUAAGGGAGAGGCAGAUGGAAUUCUUGGUGUAGGGGUAAAAUCCGUAGAGAUCAAGAAGAAUACUUAUUGCGAAGGCGAUCUGCUAGAACUUAACUGACGCUAAUGCGUGAAAGCGUGGGGAGCAAACAGG